ensembl:lncRNA
UCACAGCAUGUUGCAUGCACAGAGCGUGUGUACCGCAUAUACACACAUGUCCAUGCCAUGUUGCGUGUCAGUAGCGUGUUGCAUAUACAGGACGUGUGCACCAUCAACACACGUGUCCAUGGCGUAUUGCACACCCAUAGCGUGUUGCGGGUGCAGGACAUGUCACAUACAUGUGUGUCCAUGGCGUGUCGCAUGUCCGUUGCAUGCACAGGGCGUGUGUCAUGUGCACCCAUGUCCAUGGCGUGUUGCGUGUGCAGGGCAUGUUCAUGCUGUGUUCAUGCAUGUCGAUAGCAUGUUGUGUGUCCAUGCCGUGUGCAGGGCGUGUGCGUGCUGUGUACACGCUUGUCCAUGGCAUGUUGCAUGCACAGGGUGUUGCAUGAUAUGUACACAUGUGUCCAUAGUGUGUUGCAUGUUCAAGGCAUGUGCGUGCCAUGUACACACGUGUCCAUAGCGUGUGUGCGCACAGGGCAUCUGUGUGCCGUGUACACGCGUGCCCAUGGCGUGUUGUGUGCGCAGGGCGUGUCGUGUACACGCGUGCCCAUGGCGUGUUGCGUGCGCAGGGCGUGUGCUGCACGGCGCUGCUGGUCGCGGUGGUGACGGAGAAGCUGCAGUUCAGCCGAGCCGAGCGGCUGCUCUACGACGUCCUGCAGAGCGCGCGGAGCUCCCGCGAGGUGGGGCCCAGGCGUCCGGGAAGGGGCCCAGGCGUCCGGGAAGGGCCCAGGCAUCCAGGGAGGGGCCCAGGCGUCCGGGAAGGGGCCCAGGCGUCCGGGAAGGGCCCAGGCGUCCAGGGAGGGGCCCAGGCGUCCAGGGAGGGGCCCAGGCGUCCGGGAAGGGCCCAGGCGUCCAGGGAGGGGCCCAGGCAUCCGGAAGGGGCCCAGGCGUCCGGGAAGGGCCCAGGCGUCCGGGAAGGGACCCAGGCGUCCGGGAAGGGCCCAGGCGUCCGGGAGGGGCCCAGGCGUCCGGGAAGGGCCCAGGCGUCCGGG